UGAGCAAUCUGCCCUUCUCUUCGGAAUAAGCGUGGGAAACCGCGUCUAAUGCCGAAUACGACCUCCUUUCGCAUGAUCGGAGGUGGAAAGCUCCGGCGGAGAAGGAUGAGCUCGCGGCCUAUCAGCUAGUUGGUGUGGGUAAUGGCCCACCAAGGCGACGACGGGUAGCCGGCCUGAGAGGGCGACCGGCCACACUGGGACUGAGACACGGCCCAGACCUCCUACGGGAGGNAG
rnacentral:rRNA from 1 species